UACGGGGGGAGCAAGCGUUGUUCGGAUUUACUGGGCGUAAAGGGCGCGUAGGCGGCCUGUGCAAGUCAGUUGUGAAAUCUCCGAGCUUAACUCGGAACGGUCAACUGAUACUGCUCGGCUAGAGUGCGGAAGGGGCAACUGGAAUUCUUGGUGUAGCGGUGAAAUGCGUAGAUAUCAAGAGGAACACCUGCGGCGAAGGCGGGUUGCUGGGCCGACACUGACGCUGAGGAGCGAAAGCCAGGGGAGCAAACGGG
rnacentral:rRNA from 1 species